rnacentral:rRNA from 1 species
UACGUAGGGCGCAAGCGUUGUCCGGAAUUAUUGGGCGUAAAGAGCUCGUAGGCGGUUUGUCGCGUCUGCUGUGAAAACCUAAGGCUCAACCUUGGGCUUGCAGUGGGUACGGGCAGACUAGAGUGCGGUAGGGGUGACUGGAAUUCCUGGUGUAGCGGUGGAAUGCGCAGAGAUCAGGAGGAACACCGAUGGCGAAGGCAGGUCACUGGGCCGCAACUGACGCUGAGGAGCGAAAGCAUGGGGAGCGAACAGG